GACUAAAGUGAUGAAAAGCAAAACUUAAGAGAUGGUAGGGUUUUGAAACCCUAACAUAUUCAUUCAAACUCUUGCAUUGGAAGCUUCAGGUAGAAGCUCAGCCGCCAUGCAUGGAAAACUGAGGGUUUCAUGUCGCCAUGCCAGGAAUGACUCGAACUGAGGCUUGAACUUCAUGCUUCUAGUUUUCGACUACUCCAAACUGAUACUUUUCAUUAACAGGAUUUUGAGGAUGCGAAGCUGAUUUUUUCGUGAAGUUACUCGGCCAUAGCUGGAGGGAGACUGAAUAACAGAAGGAAGAUGCUCAUUGCCGCGAGCAAUUAUGGAACACUUGCGUUCUCUCCUCUCUUCUAGUUAGCAAUACCAUUUUAUUUACCACAUGUAUCUACUAUUUUUUUCAUACCAUGACUCAAAUAAGGCUAUUCCCACGACUUGUAUGGGAUUCUAAAUUUAACAUUAUGAAUGCAAAUUUUAUGCAAUUAUUGAAUGUGUCUUUCUCA